rnacentral:rRNA from 1 species
AAAUUGAAGAGUUUGAUCAUGGCUCAGAUUGAAUGCUGGCGGCAGGCCUAACACAUGCAAGUCGAACGGUAACAGGAAGAAGCUUGCUUCUUUGCUGACGAGUGGCGGACGGGUGAGUAAUGUCUGGGAAACUGCCUGAUGGAGGGGGAUAACUACUGGAAACGGUAGCUAAUACCGCAUAACGUCGCAAGACCAAAGAGGGGGACCUUCGGGCCUCUUGCCAUCGGAUGUGCCCAGAUGGGAUUAGCUAGUAGGUGGGGUAACGGCUCACC